rnacentral:rRNA from 1 species
GACGUAGGGGGCGAGCGUUGUCCGGAUUUAUUGGGCGUAAAGCGCGCGCAGGCGGUUCGGCAAGUCGGUUGUGAAAAUCCGGGGCUCAACCCCGGACGUGCAUCCGAUACUUCCGGACUGGAGGCAGGUAGGGGAGAGCGGAAUUCCCGGUGUAGCGGUGAAAUGCGCAGAUAUCGGGAAGAACACCGGUGGCGAAGGCGGCUCUCUGGACCUGUCCUGACGCUCAGGCGCGAAAGCGUGGGUAGCAAACAGG